rnacentral:rRNA from 1 species
GUUUGAUCCUGGCUCAGAUUGAACGCUGGCGGCAUGCCUUACACAUGCAAGUCGAACGGCAGCACGGGAGCAAUCCUGGUGGCGAGUGGCGAACGGGUGAGUAAUACAUCGGAACGUGCCCAGUUGUGGGGGAUAGCCCGGCGAAAGCCGGAUUAAUACCGCAUAAGACCUGAGGGUGAAAGCGGGAGACCGCAAGGCCUCGCGCGAUUGGAGCGGCCGAUGUCAGAUUAGGUAGUUGGUGGGGUAAAGGCCUACCAAGCCGACGAUCUGUAGCUGGUCUGAGAGGACGACCAGCCACACUGGGACUGAGACACGGCCCAGACUCCUACGGGAGGCAGCAGUGGGGAAUUUUGGACAAUGGGCGCAAGCCUGAUCCAGCCAUGCCGCGUGUGGGAAGAAGGCCUUCGGGUUGUAAACCACUUUUGUCAGGGAAGAAACGGCCUGAUCUAAUACAUUGGGUUAAUGACGGUACCUGAAGAAUAAGCACCGGCUAACUACGUGCCAGCAGCCGCGGUAAUACGUAGGGUGCGAGCGUUAAUCGGAAUUACUGGGCGUAAAGCGUGCGCAGGCGGCUUUGCAAGACAGAUGUGAAAUCCCCGGGCUCAACCUGGGAACUGCAUUUGUGACUGCAAGGCUAGAGUACGGUAGAGGGGGAUGGAAUUCCGCGUGUAGCAGUGAAAUGCGUAGAUAUGCGGAGGAACACCGAUGGCGAAGGCAAUCCCCUGGACCUGUACUGACGCUCAUGCACGAAAGCGUGUGGAGCAAACAGGAUUAGAUACCCUGGUAGUCCACGCCCUAAACGAUGUCAACUGGUUGUUGGACGGCUUGCUGUUCAGUAACGAAGCUAACGCGUGAAGUUGACCGCCUGGGGAGUACGGCCGCAAGGUUGAAACUCAAAGGAAUUGACGGGGACCCGCACAAGCGGUGGAUGAUGUGGCUUAAUUCGAUGCAACGCGAAAAACCUUACCUACCCUUGACAUGUCAGGAAGUGACCAGAGAUGGUUUCGUGCUCGAAAGAGAACCUGAACACAGGUGCUGCAUGGCCGUCGUCAGCUCGUGUCGUGAGAUGUUGGGUUAAGUCCCGCAACGAGCGCAACCCUUAUCAUUAGUUGCUACUGCAAAGGGCACUCUAAUGAGACUGCCGGUGACAAACCGGAGGAAGGUGGGGAUGACGUCAGGUCAUCAUGGCCCUUAUGGGUAGGGCUACACACGUCAUACAAUGGCCGGUACAGAGGGCUGCCAACCCGCGAGGGGGAGCUAAUCUCAGAAAACCGGUCGUAGUCCGGAUCGCAGUCUGCAACUCGACUGCGUGAAGUCGGAAUCGCUAGUAAUCGCGGAUCAGCUUGCCGCGGUGAAUACGUUCCCGGGUCUUGUACACACCGCCCGUCACACCAUGGGAGCGGGUUCUGCCAGAAGUAGUUAGCCUAACCGCAAGGGGGGCGAUUACCACGGCAGGGUUCGUGACUGGGGUGAAGUCGUAACAAGGUA